rnacentral:rRNA from 1 species
UACGGAGGAUCCGAGCGUUAUCCGGAUUUAUUGGGUUUAAAGGGUGCGUAGGCGGUUUGAUAAGUUAGAGGUGAAAUGUCGGGGCUCAACCCCGAAACUGCCUCUAAUACUGUUGGACUAGAGAAUAGUUGCGGUAGGCGGAAUGUAUGGUGUAGCGGUGAAAUGCUUAGAGAUCAUACAGAACACCGAUUGCGAAGGCAGCUUACCAAACGAUAUCUGACGUUGAGGCACGAAAGCGUGGGUAGCAAACAGG